AUGACCACAUCACGUUGAAACAGCGGUUCCCGUACGAUCGCCGAUGUUAAGCAACGUCGAUCCUCGUCAGUACCUUCAUGGGUGAACGCUUGAAAAUACUAGGUAUUGUAA